GGAGAUAGUGUUUUUUAUACAGGAUAAAGAUUGUGACUAUGUGGGACAAUAGAUAGUUGGAUAAGGAGGUUGUUACUCACCAGAAUCCUGGCUGGCACAAAACAACAUACACAUGUAGGCCAAGAGUUCAAUCAAUCUUAUAUUCAGACAAUAAAUACAAAAAAGUUACCUUUAAUAACAUUCUAUACAACAGCUUUACAAAAUCAUGUUGUCCACAUGAAUGCAGUCCCUUAUUAGGUGGUCAUUAGCACAUUUAAGAUUUCUACAUAUGCCAAUUCUUCACUUUAUUUAGAAAAUAAAUGUCACCUUUAUGAGAUAAUAUACACAUGGACAAGAGUGAAGUACACAGAUUACUGGGGUGAAUCCUAACUCACUCACCUCGCAUUCUCACUUAUUCUCCCAUUGACUUCAGGUUAAGUGAAAGUCAAGAUUUGCCCCUUAGAGGAUACCUGUUGCACACAGGUCAGAAUCCUAAUUAAAAUGUGAGAUCAAGCAUCCAAUCAACAGUGUUUUAACCACUUCCCAGACUAUUUCAUUUUAUUUUGGGGUUGAGGGAGCUUGUGACUGAUAUCUAACUUGGGGGGUUUAAUGCUUAGAUCAGGGCUGUUCAAUGUCGGUCCUGGUUUUCAUCCUCUCCUUCUAAUAAGGAGAGACCUGGCUGAGACACCAGGUGAGUGCAAUUAACUACCAGGUAGAAACAAAAAAACAGAAGUGUUUUGGCCCUCCAAGACCAGAAUUGAACAGCCCUGGCUUAGAUAUUAAUAUGCAGGUCUCCAAAGUUCAAGGCUUUUAAUUCUACCAUAAUAAAUUGAAGUUACACAUGUUCAAAAAUGCAAAGAAAUCUGAGUCCAAAGUGAGGUAUCCCCCCUGCCAGUACUCAGCAGCACCACCUUGUUAAAAACAUUAUGAGGACCCUAAAAGGAAUAGAGUUCAGAAUCAUUCAUUCAACAAGUCUCACUACAACCAAAAACUGUCCUCAUCCAAAAAUACAUUCUAUUCUCUAUGUAGUGCACGAUGUAGGGAAUAGGGUGUCAUUUUGGACAUCAUUUUGGACAGCCUCUUGGUAAAUGGAUCAUUUCCCAUCAUCCAGAUAGGAGCUAGUGUAACACAUUACACAAAAGGGGCAAUUGUUGUAACAUUGGAUUCCUGUUAGUGUGUUGCAAGUUGAUACUGGUAGACUAAUUGACAAGAGAGAGCUGAUGAAAUAGUGUGAGAGUGUAGCAGACCUGGGGUUCAAUUAGUAUUGGUUUUCUGAGCUUGCUAG
ensembl:lncRNA